AAACCCAUGCUCGCGGAUACGGAGGGAUUUUCCCCCCACCCGAAGGAGCUAUCCGGGAAACUGAUAAGUCCUUCCGAUCCCGGGGGGUAGUAUGGUUGCAAAAGCUGGAGACUUAACGAAAAAUGCCGGGAAGGGCUCCACAAGGGGUGGAGCUUGCGACUUGAUUUUGGACUCCACCACGGGCAAACUCACCCCGGUCCGGACACCAUUACGACUGACAGAUUGAAAGCUCUUUCUCGAUUUGGUGGUUGGUGGUGCAUGGCCGUUCUUAGUUGGAGGAGUGAUUUGUCUGGUUUAUUCCGAUAACGAGCGAGACUCUAGCCUGCUAAAUAGUUGGCGAAUCUUAGGGUUCGUAUAACUUCUUAGAGGGAUAAGCGGUGUUUAGCCGCACGAGAUUGAGCGAUAACAGGUCUGUGAUGCCCUUAGAUGUCCGGGGCUUCACGCAUGCUACACUGGUGGAGUCAGCGGGUUUUUCGAGUGGAGAAGAAUUUCUCCAAACCAUUGAAAUUGUUCCACUCCGGGAUAGGCUGAUUCCAAAACUGCCAGAAGACCCAGGCUCAUGCUCACUUGGACCGAGUUAUGCGCCGUCAAACUUUUACUAUUCUACGCAGCUUAUCAAUA
rnacentral:ncRNA from 1 species